GAUGAAGAACGUAGCGAAAUGCGAUAAGUAAUGCGAAUUGCAGAUUUCAGUGAAUCAUCGAAUCUUUGAACGCACAUUGCGCCCGCCAGUAUUCUGGCGGGCAUGCCUGUUCGAGCGUCAUUACAACCCUCAGGCCCCCGGGCCUGGCGUUGGGGAUCGGCAGAAGCCCCCUGUGGGCACACGCCGUCCCUCAAAUACAGUGGCGGUCCCGCCGCAGCUUCCAUUGCGUAGUAGCUAACACCUCGCAACUGGAGAGCGGCGCGGCCAUGCCGUAAAACACCCAACUUCUGAAUGUUGACCUCGAAUCAGGUAGGAAUACCCGCUGAACUUAAGCAUAUCAAUAAGCGGAGGA
rnacentral:misc_RNA from 1 species